UACGGAAGGGGCUAGCGUUGUUCGGAAUUACUGGGCGUAAAGAGCGCGUAGGCGGCUCUUCAAGUUAGGCGUGAAAGGCCUGGGCUCAACCUGGGAACUGCGUUUAAUACUGGAGAGCUUGAGUCCGGGAGAGGGUGGUGGAAUUCCCAGUGUAGAGGUGAAAUUCGUAGAUAUUGGGAGGAACACCAGUGGCGAAGGCGGCCACCUGGCCCGGAACUGACGCUGAGGCGCGAAAGCGUGGGGAGCAAACAGG
rnacentral:rRNA from 1 species